rnacentral:rRNA from 1 species
UACGUAGGGUGCGAGCGUUAAUCGGAAUUACUGGGCGUAAAGCGUGCGCAGGCGGUUUUGCAAGCCGGAUGUGAAAUCCCCGGGCUCAACCUGGGAAUGGCAUUCGGGACUGCAAGGCUGGAGUGCGGCAGAGGAGACUGGAAUUCCUGGUGUAGCAGUGAAAUGCGUAGAUAUCGGGAGGAACACCAGUGGCGAAGGCGACUUCCUGGCCUGUUCUUGACGCUGAGGCGCGAAAGCUAGGGUAGCAAACGGG